UGAUCACAGAAAAUUACAUUUUCUUUAUUUUUUUAAUAAUAAAACUAAAUAUUCUGUAAAAAAAACAAAAAAAAAGGUCAAAUUUCUUUAAGACGUCCAAAGCUUCGUGAAAUCGCAGUUCCAAUUAAGUCUAAGUUUCUCGAGAAUACACAUCACAUCACCAGUAUUAAUAGUAAUGAUUGUUUUGAAUAAAAUAUUAUAAUUUAAUAUACAUAUUUAUUGUAUUAAUUUUGUACUUUAGAUUGUUAGUUGUGACUGAAGUUUUAGUUAUAAAUAUAAUCGUAAAUCGUAGUCACGAAUGAUUGAAAAUUUCACAUUCACAAAUAUAUUUUGUGAAUUGCGAUAUAAUAUAGUACAUACAUAUUCCACUGCGGUCUGCAAGCGCUACAGAAUUGUUUUAUCAUCCCAGUAAUAUUUUAGUCACAAUUUCAUGGCCCGUGCCCCGUUGGACAACCAGUAAAUCUUAAAUCGUGUCUAUUACACAAUCAUUCGACAUCCUAUACAUCUUAAUUCGUGCUUUCCGGUGAGCCCAGUUCGACUGUUAUCACACGUAUUUUACUUUCUUUUUUUUUGAGACAUAAUUAAAAUGGGCGUCUUAAAGUUGUCCAAUGUGGCCACAUGGACUGUUUUAAAUUUUAUCAUACGUUAGAUAAACUAUUGUAGAUUAAAUUAAUAGGUAAUUAUCUAAACGCCGCUCCUGAAAAAAAUCAAAUGACGGUUUAUGGUCACAUUGGAUAAUUUUAGGACAGUCAUUUUAAUUUUAUUUACUUCAACCAAAAUAUUUAGUGCGAGAACCGGUGUAUUAUAAUCUAACCUAAACUUAUACAUUCAGACGGAACAUUUCAGCAUGAAAACGUAUUCCAGUGGAUGGAGUUUCAUUUCGAGGACAGAAACUUUUGAGAUAAUAAACUGAGCGUUUUAAUUGGCUGUCUUCGGUGUGCAAAUUGAUUCUCUUACACUAGGAUAAAUAUCAACCUGUCUCUCUUAAUCCGUUCGGACUAACCGCGCCUCCCAGUGCUCUCGGUGAAUGUUCAUUUUCAAAUUGUACUACUGUAAAAUUGAGCGUUGCCCAACAGACAUUCUUUGACUAACAGUAAAGUUGUGAUUUUUGUACA